UCCAGACUCCUACGGGAGGCAGCAGUGAGGGAUAUUGGUCAAUGGGGGAAACCCUGAACCAGCAACGCCGCGUGAGGGAAGACGGUUUUCGGAUUGUAAACCUCUGUCCUCUGUGAAGAUAAUGACGGUAGCAGAGGAGGAAGCUCCGGCUAACUACGUGCCAGCAGCCGCGGUAAUACGUAGGGGGCAAGCGUUAUCCGGAUUUACUGGGUGUAAAGGGGGCGCAGACGGCGAUGCAAGCCAGGAGUGAAAGCCCGGGGCCCAACCCCGGGACUGCUCUUGGAACUGCGUGGCUGGAGUGCAGGAGGGGCAGGCGGAAUUCCUGGUGUAGCGGUGAAAUGCGUAGAUAUCAGGAGGAACACCGGUGGCGAAGGCGGCCUGCUGGACUGCAACUGACGUUGAGGCCCGAAAGCGUGGGGAGCAAACAGGAUUAGAUACCCUAGUAAU
rnacentral:rRNA from 1 species